AGUGAACGCUGGCGGUAGGCCUAACACAUGCAAGUCGAACGGCAGCACAGUAAGAGCUUGCUCUUACGGGUGGCGAGUGGCGGACGGGUGAGGAAUACAUCGGAAUCUACUUUUUCGUGGGGGAUAACGUAGGGAAACUUACGCUAAUACCGCAUACGACCUACGGGUGAAAGCAGGGGAUCUUCGGACCUUGCGCGAUUGAAUGAGCCGAUGUCGGAUUAGCUAGUUGGCGGGGUAAAGGCCCACCAAGGCGACGAUCCGUAGCUGGUCUGAGAGGAUGAACAGCGACAGUGGAACUGAGACACGGUACAGGGUCCGACGGGAGGCAGGAGUGGGGAAUGGGGGACAAUGGGCGCAAGCCUGAACCAGCCAUCACGGGCGGGUGAAGAAGGCCUGCGGGUUGUAGAGCGGUUUUGUUGUGAAAGAAAGGCAGCAGCGUAGUACCGGGCUGUGGUGACGGUACCGGAAGAAGAAGCACCGGCUAACUACGUG
rnacentral:rRNA from 1 species